UACGAAGGGGGCUAGCGUUGCUCGGAAUUACUGGGCGUAAAGGGCGCGUAGGCGGACAGUUUAGUCAGAGGUGAAAGCCCAGGGCUCAACCUUGGAAUUGCCUUUGAUACUGGCUGUCUUGAGUUUGGGAGAGGUGAGUGGAAUGCCGAGUGUAGAGGUGAAAUUCGUAGAUAUUCGGCGGAACACCAGUGGCGAAGGCGACUCACUGGCCCGAUACUGACGCUGAGGCGCGAAAGCGUGGGGAGCGAACAGG
rnacentral:rRNA from 1 species